GAUUCCAGCCCAGCGACGCGCCGCGUGGCCGGGAGUGCAGACAGGUCACCGGUCCCCGGGUGUCUGGACCGCGCCGCUUCCUACUGGGCUUACUUCGGGAUCUAGACUUCGGCCUCCGUCCUUGCAAGGGCCCAGAUUUGAUUCCGGUUCGUCGAGGCGGUCUGUAGCAGAUAAAGGGCCCAUUAAAAAGCUGGACCCUGUGGGCCUUCGGUGCCAGAGGAAGCGAGAAGAUGGCUCGGGAGUCAGUCCGGAGGCAGGAGGCCCAUUUCGGGUGGAGGCCAGAGGUCUAGCUGCUCGCACUUCAUUCCGGUAGUGGUAGUGUUAGCACGAAGCAUGUCCACGCUGUUUUCCCCGCCUGGGCUACACCCACACAAAGGAGCUGGUCAUCUAUCUUCUGAGGCAUCUUCCUUCUCUCGGGAUUCUAUUUGGGUAGCUCUCUUCAAUUCCCCAAACAGAACAACUGUUAGUAUUUCACAAAGGCCUUCAGUACAUCUUUAUUAAUCUGACUGCCUGGUUGCAGUUACAUUUGAGAAUAAGACUGAGAUCAAAUUCCACGUUUAGAGUGAGAAAUGACUGCAGUUGAAGACUUGGUUGCAAGAGUCUAAGAAGACACCUCAGGGAGAGAGACAGGAUCCAAAACAAGAUUGCUGGCUGAGGAAUGGGACAAGUCACCAGCUCAGAAGUCUCAGGACCAGCGACAUCAAGAGCAGGAAGUGGCCAGUGCCUCAACUUCACUCCCCUCUCCCUCCUGGAACAGGCCCUCCAUCACCGUAGAUAAUUCAUGUCACUGAAUGGAACAUGUAAGCCAUCUCACUUCUUUUUGUCUUCACAAAUGCUUUAAACACAGGCUUGGAAAAUCUGUGGGCUUCUCACACGUUCUCAGAUAUAUUCCUUUGCACCUAACUGGAGUGAAAUGAUAUGGUGCUCAGUGGAAGGAAUCUGGUUGUGCCAGCAGAGGUUGGGGCUAUGGAACCAUGUAACUGGAAGCAAGCAGUGAAAGAAACCUGGAAACUCCUGUCACCCUGUGCCUCAGUGCAGGCUGGCUCAGCAGCAUCAACUUAAUGUUCUGUGUGGGAUGCUAGCACAUUUGUGUUUGGAGCCUGGUAAUUAGAUUGUGAGCAGGAGGCAAAAUCCCAGCAAUCUGGUGGCAUGGACAAAUCUUGGUGUCAGAAGGCAUGGUGUGUUGAGGCUUAACAAUCUCAGCUCUAUUUUUGUCUAUCACCCCUUUGAUACAUGUCAAAAAA
rnacentral:lncRNA from 1 species